AUGGCUGGAAACCUGCUGUUGGUCGUCGUCAUGUAUUCCUUUUCUGAGAUGAAAGCACAAGCUCUUCUUGCACCUAAACUGACGGUGAACCAAUCGGUGAUCACAGACACAGACUCAGUCACAUUGAACUGUCAGCCUCCACCAUCUGUUUCUGUGUCUCAGUGUUAUUUCAGCACUGUAAGAGGAGGACCGGCCACACGCUUCUCUUGUCUGCAGACACUGACAGGAACUGAACUGCUCAAGAUGUCAUAUCAAAGUUCACCUGCUGAGGUUGAAGUGAAAUGUUCUUACCUUAAGGUGUUUCAAUCUCCUGAGAGUGAAACAACCUCCAUCACCAUCCGAACAUCUCUUCCACCUAAACUGACAGUGAAUCCACCAGUGAUCAACGAGAGAGACUCAGUCACAUUGAACUGUCAGACUCCACCAUCCUUUUCUGUGACUCAGUGUCAUUUCUACAUUUCAAGUGGAGGAACUGUCAGAGACUCCUCUUGUCUGCAGACACUGACAGGAACUGAACUGCUGAAGACGUCACCUCAGAGUUCACCUUCUGAGGUUGAAGUGAUGUGUUUUUAUACGGUAAAGCUUGGAGAAAAAGAUUCUCCAUCUCCAUACAGUGGCACUUCCCGCAUUACCAUACACGGUGAGUGAAUGCUUUUUUGAUUUGGUAUCAUAACAAGAAAAGGGGAGAAGUGAAUUUGUCUUUAGGGCUUAUAAACCAAAACAAGGAGAGAAAGACUAAUUUAAGAACUUCUGUUCUCAUAAAAUGCCGCCUGCUUUUUUAAUGUUAAUUGUAUUUUGAGCAACGAUAGAUUUAAU
rnacentral:lncRNA from 1 species